UGCCCGGUAGCUCAGCUGGUAGAGCUGUCGGCUCUGGACCGACGGGACGCUGGUUCGAACCCGGCCCGGGCAG
rnacentral:tRNA from 1 species